CGGCGGACGGGUGAGUAACGCGUGGGUAACCUGCCUCAUACAGGGGGAUAACAGUUGGAAACGGCCGCUAAUACCGCAUAAGCGCACAGUACCGCAUGGUACGGUGUGAAAAACUCCGGUGGUAUGAGAUGGACCCGCGUCUGAUUAGCUAGUUGGUAAGGUAACGGCUUACCAAGGCGACGAUCAGUAGCCGACCUGAGAGGGUGACCGGCCACAUUGGGACUGAGACACGGCCCAA
rnacentral:rRNA from 1 species